CCUACGGGAGGCAGCAGUAGGGAAUUUUCGGCAAUGGGCGAAAGCYUGACCGAGCAAUACCGAGUGAAUGAUGAAGUAUUUCGAUAUGUAAAGUUCUUUUAUUAGUGACGAAAAGGCCCGCAAGGGAGAUUGACGGUAGCUAAUGAAUAAGCCCCGGCUAACUACGUGCCAGCAGCCGCGGUAAU
rnacentral:rRNA from 1 species